AUACGUAGGGGGCGAGCGUUGUCCGGAAUGAUUGGGCGUAAAGGGCGCGUAGGCGGCGCGGUAAGUCUGGAGUGAAAGUCCUGCUUUCAAGGUGGGAAUUGCUUUGGAUACUGCCGCGCUUGAGUGCAGGAGAGGUCAUCGGAAUUCCCGGUGUAGCGGUGAAAUGCGUAGAGAUCGGGAGGAACACCAGUGGCGAAGGCGGGUAACUGGACUGCAACUGACGCUGAGGCGCGAAAGUGUGGGGAGCAAACAGGAUUAGAUACCCUGGUAGUCCACACUGUAAACGAUGAAUGCUAGGUGUAAGAGGUAUCGACCCCUUUUGUGCCGGAGUCAACACAAUAAGCAUUCCGCCUGGGGAGUACGGCCGCAAGGUUGAAACUCAAAGGAAUUGACGGGG
rnacentral:rRNA from 1 species